GACGAACGCUGGCGGCGUGCCUAAUACAUGCAAGUCGAACGCUGAAGGAGGAGCUUGCUUCUCUGGAUGAGUUGCGAACGGGUGAGUAACGCGUAGGUAACCUGCCUGGUAGCGGGGGAUAACUAUUGGAAACGAUAGCUAAUACCGCAUAAUAGCAGUUAUUGCAUGAUAACUGUUUGAAAGGUGCAAUUGCACCACUACCAGAUGGACCUGCGUUGUAUUAGCUAGUUGGUGGGGUAACGGCUCACCAAGGCGACGAUACAUAGCCGACCUGAGAGGGUGAUCGGCCACACUGGGACUGAGACACGGCCCAGACUCCUACGGGAGGCAGCAGUAGGGAAUCUUCGGCAAUGGACGGAAGUCUGACCGAGCAACGCCGCGUGAGUGAAGAAGGUUGUCGGAUCGUAAAGCUCUGUUGUAAGAGAAGAACGAGUGUGAGAGUGGAAAGUUCACACUGUGACGGUAUCUUACCAGAAAGGGACGGCUAACUACGUG
rnacentral:rRNA from 1 species